GUGCCAGCAGCCGCGGUAAUACGGAGGGGGUUAGCGUUGUUCGGAAUUACUGGGCGUAAAGCGCACGUAGGCGGACUGGAAAGUUGGGGGUGAAAUCCCGGGGCUCAACCCCGGAACUGCCUCCAAAACUACUAGUCUAGAGUUCGAGAGAGGUGAGUGGAAUUCCGAGUGUAGAGGUGAAAUUCGUAGAUAUUCGGAGGAACACCAGUGGCGAAGGCGGCUCACUGGCUCGAUACUGACGCUGAGGUGCGAAAGUGUGGGGAGCAAACAGGAUUAGAUACCCUGGUAGUCCACACCGUAAACGAUGAAUGCCAGUCGUCGGCAAGCAUGCUUGUCGGUGACACACCUAACGGAUUAAGCAUUCCGCCUGGGGAGUACGGUCGCAAGAUUAAAACUCAAA
rnacentral:rRNA from 1 species